CACGUAGGAGGCGAGCGUUGUCCGGAAUCAUUGGGCGUAAAGAGCGCGCAGGCGGCUUGGCAAGUCGGGUGUGAAAUCCCGGGGCUCAACCCCCGGUGACUGCAUCCGAUACUGUCAGGCUAGAGGUAGGUAGGGGAGAUCGGAAUUCCGUGGUGUAGCGGUGAAAUGCGCAGAUAUCAGGAGGAACACCGGUGGCGAAGGCGGAUCUCUGGGCCUUACCUGACCGCUCAGGCGCGAAAGCUAGGGGAGCGA
rnacentral:rRNA from 1 species